rnacentral:rRNA from 1 species
ACUCCUACGGGAGGCAGCAGUGGGGAAUUUUGGACAAUGGGCGAAAGCCUGAUCCAGCAAUGCCGCGUGAGUGAAGAAGGCCUUCGGGUUGUAAAGCUCUUUUGUCAGGGAAGAAACGGUGAAAGCUAAUAUCUUUUGCUAAUGACGGUAACUGAAGAAUAAGCACCGGCUAACUACGUGCCAGCAGCCGCGGUAAUACGUAGGGUGCAAGCGUUAAUCGGAAUUACUGGGCGUAAAGCGGGCGCAGGCGGUUUUGUAAGUCUGAUGUGAAAUCCCCGGGCUCAACCUGGGAAUUGCAUUGGAGACUGCAAGGCUAGAAUCUGGCAGAGGGGGGUAGAAUUCCACGUGUAGCAGUGAAAUGCGUAGAUAUGUGGAGGAACACCGAUGGCGAAGGCAGCCCCCUGGGUCAAGAUUGACGCUCAUGCACGAAAGCGUGGGGAGCAAACAGGAUUAGAUACCCCGGUAGUCCC